CAACAUUUUACAUAUUUUUCAACCCAAAAAGAGAUAAUAUAAUAUUGUUUCAUUUCUUCCCAAAUACUUGCAUACAAUUCGAUCCAAAAUAAAACCAUAAACGUACUUUAUGCUUCCCAAAGUUACAACACUACGACGUGAUACUUUUACCUUGGUCGCGCUGACGUGCCUCUCCAACAAUGGUUGGACCUAGAUGUGAAAAAUAUUUAAACAAUGUGGGCGAGAAUUA
rnacentral:lncRNA from 1 species